UUGAGUUGUGCUCAAGGGGUACCUAUGUUUGAGUUGUGCUUUUGCAACAGACUCUCUUUGGUCCCUUUUAACCUGGGUAGCAAGCCCCCAAGUGUUUUGUAAGCAUGGCGUAUAAGCUGGAUGAAAGGGUAAUCAGGAAGCCCCCAUGUAACCUAAUAAGAUAAGCCAAUAAGGCGGGAUACCCAUGUUUGAACUGCGCAUCAUGGCAGCAAGUUCUCUUUGGCAACCUUUAAUUUUCUGAGAACUCGAACUUGCGAGAGAUGAAUUUCUUUUUCGACCGGAGUUUUAACCCGGAUAUUGAGAGCUUCAGUGCUUUGUGGGAGAGAGAUGUCUCUUGAGCUGUAUUUUAAAUCAGAAUCUUCAUUUUGAGCCGGCAAUUUUCUGACGGCCUUUAAAUUUUCACCAAGAUGGCGGUAGCCUCCGGAACCGGGUUAUCUUCCAUCCAAUGAUCCAGAGUCUUGAAUCUCACAAUGUUUACUAAGUCAUGUCAUCGUAGCCCCCGAGUCUUAAGACUACUCAAGGAGUUGGCUUGAGACUCUCCAUACUUGACCAUGAUAUAACCAGUAGAUUGCUGAAAUAUGUUGAGUCCCGGUGGGUUAUAAUUGACCCUGUCCAUUGACCCGUUCGGUGUAGCCAAGGACCAUAGUUUGAUGGUCUCCUUUGUAAUUAUGAAUUCUGCAUAAGAAUUUGCACAAACAAGAGUAAUUUUUCUCAGAGAAAAUAAGAAUGGAUAGAAACUUGACAGGGUGGAUUUCACCUGAUAUGUUUUAUCAAGAAAUGAUGAUAGAGGUGGCGGCUUAAAUCGCGACACCUGGCGGCUCAAAAGAGAUCCUCCGGGUCAUGUUGACCUUUUUUUAAAUAUGUAAAGUCGGAACAAGGGAGAGCCGAACGGACCAUCCUCGACACAACGGGUCAAGCACAACGCAGCGGGUCAAGCGCGGGGCGGCUCAGAUGCAGGGUGGCUUGGAGACCAGCCAACGGCGACUUGUGGCGUAGCGGCGGUGACUUGUGACAGAAGAGCGAGGCUGGCGGCGGCUCGGCAAGACCACAGAAGCUGUGGCCUGCGGCUACGGGGACCCCUGGCAAGGCAAGAUUCGGUGGCGACGGCAUGCUAGCAAGGCACGAUGAAUCCGCGAGCGACUUGGGUGAUUGCAACACGGCAAGUUCAUGGAGUAAAGGGAGGCUCACUCUCAAUGUAGAUGGAGUGGCGGCUCAAGGGAGCGGCUCAAUGGGCUCCGGCGGGUCAAUGACCGAGGCGAGUCACGUCUCAAGCAGCUUAGCUUAAGGCGAUGGCAGCUUUGCGCGACGGGCGGCUCACGGCGAGACCUGCAGCGGAAACGGCGGAGACGAGUCCUCGACCGCAGAAACAGGGUGCUACAGCGACAAAUCCGGUUCUACCCGGUGCGGGCGUCAGAGGUCAACCGCUGGACUACGGCGAGGCGGCUCAUGGCAGAAAUAGCAGGGCCGGCCGGCUACAAGUGGCCCGAGGCGGUGGGUUGGCGAAAACCGGUGGAGGCGAGUCAAGCGGCCGACUUGAAGCUGAAGCAGCGGGACUUCGGCGAGUUGAAGCGGUGCCGCAACGGCGGCAACAACUUGGUGGCUCAAUACAACGGAGCGGCGAAGGCAACUCGGCGAGGCAAAGCAAGUCCGACUUGGAAGCGAGGCGAGCCCGCCCACUACCCGGACCCGGACCCAUGGUCAUCUUGUGCGGAAGGAGCCGUCGACGUCGACUUGGCCAGUGGAAAAAAAAGCACGGCCAAAGCGGCUCAGAGCCGGAGCUGGGGCGAUUUGGUGCGUCAGUACGGCGGCUCAGAACCAACAUGAAGCAGAGAAGGCGCAAGACAGCACCAGCGACAGCGGUGAAUGGCUACGGUGGUCGCUACAGAAGUGGCGGACAUUAUUCCUGAACCAUGGCUGUAUCCAAUUCCGGAUCAUGGUCGUGGCGCCUCGAGGCCGGGGCGCCGGAGAUGACCCAGCCGAGGCACCGGUUUAAUCCGCGGCGGCUCACCGCGAUGGUGGCAACGACCGGGUCACACAGAGGUGGUAGCAACCCGCGGCGCGGCCCGAGAUGCAGCAGAGGAGGAGGCCAGCAUGAUGGCGGCGAUGGCUCAAGCACGAGGCCUGGGCGGCUUGGCGCGAGUGGUUCGACGGGCCGGCGCUGUGAGGCAUCCGGUGAGCCGACAGAGUUGCGGCAGAGGAGACGAGGCGACAACAGUGACUUGGCGGGUCGAGUGGCCGGUUCGAGGCGGCGGCGAGGCGAGCCAUCUUGCCGCCGACGAGGUGGAAGUGGCCGCGCGGUGGCUGGCGGUUGACGAGGCACCGGCGGGUCAAGGCUGCGCUAAGGGCACAACAGCCCGGGUCGCGCUCGGAGCUGUGGUGAUGGAUCUGACCGAAGGCGAGGUCGAGACUUGAUAAGGCAGCUGGCUUUUCUUUAUAUAUAUUUUUUUCAAGAUC